AUGUACAUUGCUACAACAUAGUGUUAAUGCCUCGGAUCCCAUUAGAACUCUGCAGUUAAGUGCGCUCGGGCUAGAGUAGUACUGGGAUGGGUGACUGCCUGAGAAGUACUACUAUUUUACAUG
rnacentral:rRNA from 1 species